AACGAACGCUGGCGGCAUGCCUAACACAUGCAAGUCGAACGAGACCUUCGGGUCUAGUGGCGCACGGGUGCGUAACGCGUGGGAACCUGCCCUUAGGUUCGGAAUAACUCCCCGAAAGGGGUGCUAAUACCGGAUAAUGUCUUCGGACCAAAGAUUUAUCGCCUUUGGAUGGGCCCGCGUUGGAUUAGCUAGUUGGUAGGGUAAAAGCCUACCAAGGCGACGAUCCAUAGCUGGUCUGAGAGGAUGAUCAGCCACACUGGGACUGAGACACGGCCCAGACUCCUACGGGAGGCAGCAGUGGGGAAUAUCGGACAAUGGGCGAAAGCCUGAUCCAGCAAUGCCGCGUGAGUGAUGAAGGCCUUAGGGUUGUAAAGCUCUUUUACCCGGGAUGAUAAUGACAGUACCGGGAGAAUAAGCACCGGCUAACUCCGUG
rnacentral:rRNA from 1 species